GUACUCGCUUUGGCGGUUUAUAUACUCAAAUGGAAACAAUACAGAGAAGAUUAACAUGUUCUCUGCGCACGGAUGACACGCAAAAUUAUAAAAUGUUUUACAUUUUG